GAUGAACGCUAGCGGCAGGCUUAAUACAUGCAAGUCGUGGGGCAGCAUGAUGUAGCAAUACAUUGAUGGCGACCGGCAAACGGGUGCGGAACACGUACACAACCUUCCUUUUAGUGAGGAAUAGCCCAGAGAAAUUUGGAUUAAUACCCUAUAACAUAUAGAGAUGGCAUCAUCUUAAUAUUAAAGCUUCGGCGCUAGAAGAUGGGUGUGCGGCUGAUUAGGUAGUUGGCGGGGUAACGGCCCACCAAGCCUACGAUCAGUAGCUGAUGUGAGAGCAUGAUCAGCCACACGGGCACUGAGACACGGGCCCGACUCCUACGGGAGGCAGCAGUAAGGAAUAUUGGACAAUGGACGAAAGUCUGAUCCAGCCAUGCCGCGUGAAGGAUUAAGGUCCUCUGGAUUGUAAACUUCUUUUAUUUGGGACGAAAAAAGAUCAUUCUUGAUCACUUGACGGUACCAGAUGAAUAAGCACCGGCUAACUCCGUGCCAGCCGCCGCAGUAAAAC
rnacentral:rRNA from 1 species